rnacentral:rRNA from 1 species
CCUACGGGGGGCUGCAGUGGGGAAUAUUGGACAAUGGGGGGAACCCUGAUGCAGCCAUGCCGCGUGUGUGAAGAAGGCCCUCGGGUUGUAAAGCACUUUCAGUGAGGAAGAACGCCUUGUGGUUAAUACCCAUCAGGAAAGACAUCACUCGCAGAAGAAGCACCGGCUAACUCCGUGCCAGCAGCCGCGGUAAUACGGAGGGUGCGAGCGUUAAUCGGAAUUACUGGGCGUAAAGCGCGCGUAGGUGGCUUGAUAAGCCGGUUGUGAAAGCCCCGGGCUCAACCUGGGAACGGCAUCCGGAACUGUCAAGCUAGAGUGCAGGAGAGGAAGGUAGAAUUCCCGGUGUAGCGGUGAAAUGCGUAGAGAUCGGGAGGAAUACCAGUGGCGAAGGCGGCCUUCUGGACUGACACUGACACUGAGGUGCGAAAGCGUGGGUAGCAAACAGGAUUAGAUACCCCGGUAGUC